AAACCUUCAAGCUCUGCUUGGUGUUGGGCGUCUGUCCUGCCUCACGGCGCGGACUCGCCUCAAAUCUAUUGGCGGCCGGCACGUUGGCUUCGAGCGCAGCAGAAACGCGAACUCGAGACCGGCGGAUCGGCUCCCAGAAGCUACCCCCAUGA
rnacentral:misc_RNA from 2 species